GGACGAACGCUGGCGGCGUGCUUAACACAUGCAAGUCGAGCGGUAAGGCCCUUUCGGGGGUACACGAGCGGCGUAACGGGUGAGUAACACGUGGGUGACCUGCCUUUAGCUCUGGGAUAAGCCUGGGAAACUGGGUCUAAUACCGGAUAUGACCCUAUGGCGCAUGUUGUGGGGUGGAAAGCCUUGUGCGGCUAGGGAUGGGCCCGCGGCCUAUCAGCUUGUUGGUGGGGUGAUGGCCUACCAAGGCGACGACGGGUAGCCGGCCUGAGAGGGCGACCGGCCACACUGGGACUGAGACACGGCCCAGACUCCUACGGGAGGCAGCAGUGGGGAAUCUUGCGCAAUGGGCGAAAGCCUGACGCAGCGACGCCGCGUGAGGGAUGACGGCCUCG
rnacentral:rRNA from 1 species